GACGAACGCUGGCGGCGUGCUUAACACAUGCAAGUCGAACGGAAAGGCCCUGCUUUUGUGCGGUGCUCGAGUGGCGAACGGGUGAGUAACACGUGAGUAACCUGCCCUUGAUUUUGGGAUAACUUCAGGAAACUGGGGCUACUACCGGAAAGGAGCUCAUGCUGCAUGGUGGGCGUUGGAACUUUUCGGCGUGUGGGGAUGGACUCGCGGAUUAUCAGCUUGUUGGUGGGGUAGUGGAUUACCCAGGCAUUGACGGGUAGCCGGCCUGGGAGGGUGACCGGCCACAUUGGGACUGAGAUACGGCCCAGACUCCUACGGGAGGCAGAAGUGGGGAAUAUUGCACAGUGGGCGGAAGCCUGAUGCAGCAACGCUGCGUGCGGGAUGACGGCCUUCGGGUUGUAAACCGCUUUCGCCUGUGACGAAGCGUGAGUGACGGUAAUGGGUAAAGAAGCACCGGCUAACUACGUG
rnacentral:rRNA from 1 species